rnacentral:pre_miRNA from 1 species
GUUGCGGCAUGCGGCAUCUUUAGUUGUAGUGUGUAAACUCUUAGCUGCGGUGCUAAUUCCCUGAUCAGGGAUUGAA